UGGGGAAUAUUGGACAAUGGGCGCAAGCCUGAUCCAGCCAUGCCGCGUGAGUGAUGAAGGCCCUAGGGUUGUAAAGCUCUUUCACCGGUGAAGAUAAUGACGGUAACCGGAGAAGAAGCCCCGGCUAACUUCGUGCCAGCAGCCGCGGUAAUACGAAGGGGGCUAGCGUUGUUCGGAUUUACUGGGCGUAAAGCGCACGUAGGCGGACUUUUAAGUCAGGGGUGAAAUCCCGGGGCUCAACCCCGGAACUGCCUUUGAUACUGGAAGUCUUGAGUAUGGUAGCGGUGAGUGGAAUUCCGAGUGUAGAGGUGAAAUUCGUAGAUAUUCGGAGGAACACCAGUGGCGAAGGCGGCUCACUGGACCAUUACUGACGCUGAGGUGCGAAAGCGUGGGGAGCAAACAGG
rnacentral:rRNA from 1 species